CCUACGGGAGGCAGCAGUGAGGAAUAUUGGUCCAUGGGCGCGAGCCUGACCCAGCCAUGCCGCGUGCAGGAUGACGGCUCUAUGAGUUGUAAACUGCUUUUGUACGGGAAUAAUAGUUCUUACGUGUAGUGUUUUGAAUGUAGCGUAAGAAUAAGGAUCGGAUAAAUCCGUGCCAGCAGCCGCGGUACUACGGAGGAUUCGAGCGUUAUCCGGAUUUAUUGGGUUUAAAGGGUGCGUAGGCUGUUGGAUACGUUAGAGGUCAAAUGUCUGUGCUUAACCCCGUGCCUUCCUCUGAGACUGUUCGACUAGAGAGCGGAUGCAGCAGGCGGAAUGAGUAGUGUAGCGGGGAAAUGCUUAGAUAUUACUCAGAACACCGAUUGCGCAGGCAGCUUGCUAAUCCGCAUCUGACGCUGAUGCACGAAGGCGUGGGUAGCGAACAGGAUUAGAUACCCGGGUAGUC
rnacentral:rRNA from 1 species